UCAAGAAACUUCCACAAUGGGCGAAAGCCUGAUGGAGCGACGUCGCGUGAUGGACGAAGUGCUUCGGCACGUAAACAUCUUUUUAUGUGGGAUGAAAUUAUUGACAGUACCACAUGAAUAAGGGGCUCCUAACUCUGUGCCAGCAGGAGCGGUAAUACAGAGGCCCCAAGCGUUAUCCGGAAUCACUGGGCGUAAAGGGUGUCGAGGCGGUUGUAUUAGUCGUUCGUAAAAUCUACGAGCUUAACUUGUAGGCGGCGAACGAAACGGUACGACUUGAGGUUUGGAGAGGUGCGUGGAACUCACGGUGUAGAGGUGAAAUUCGUAGAUAUUGGGAAGAACACCAGUGGCGAAGGCGGCUAACUGGUCCGGUACUGACGCUGAGGUGCGAAAGCGUGGGGAGCAAACAGGAUUAGAUACCCCCGUAGUCCCUGAGCGGGCUGGCAAGGCGCAU
rnacentral:rRNA from 1 species